AAAUGAUCCAUAUGGCAACAUACUUUCAAUUUAUAUGUAUUUUUUUUUCAUUUUUAUGCGUGAAAUGCCCCAAGUGCAUUCUCAUUUAGGAAAGAAGAACCAUGGAGACACCAGCCGUCGGAUUUAAUCUCCGAUUUCACAACUUCACCAUUCUUUAAGCUAUUCGCUGGAAUACCUACAUGAAUCUACAUGUCAAGAAUGAAGCUUUUUUUAGGUGAAUUUGUCACCACCAUUUUUCGUUGAUUUGUAGUAUCACCAGGGGUAGUUGUUGCCUGGAAAGCUGCAAAUGUGAAAUUGGAACUACAGUGGUCUAAUUUGAACUAGGUGCAGUUAGGCAAGCAGUAUGAUUCUUAUGAACUGAUAUAAAUGAUUCUUAUGAACUUAUAUAAAGAUACAAAUUAAAAGGGUCAAUAACAGUAAAAUGGGACAGUGGACUUGCCCUAUAACAAUACUCAAACUAUAAACAAAUAGUUGAUCAAAUGACAUUUACAAA